AUUGAACGCUGGCGGCAGGCCUAACACAUGCAAGUCGAACGAGUGGCGGACGGGUGAGUAAUGUAUGGGAAACUGCCCGAUGGAGGGGGAUAAAUACUGGAAAAGGUAGCUAAUACCGCAUACCAUCGGAUGUGCCCAGAUGGGAUUAGCUAGUAGGAGGGGUAAAGGCUCACGUAGGCGACGAUCCCUAGCGGGUCUGAGAGGAUGACCAGCCACACUGGAACUGAGACACGGUCCAGACUCCUACGGGAGGCAGCAGUGGGGAAUAUUGGACAAUGGGCGCAAGCCUGAUACAGCCAUGCCGCGUGUAUGAAGAAGGCCUUCGGGUUGUAAAGUACUUUCAGCGGGGAGGCGUUACCCGCAGAAGAAGCACCGGCUAACUCCGUGCCAGCCGCCGCGGUAAUUC
rnacentral:rRNA from 1 species